rnacentral:rRNA from 1 species
UACGUAGGUCCCGAGCGUUAUCCGGAUUUAUUGGGCGUAAAGCGAGCGCAGGUGGUUUAUUAAGUCUGGUGUAAAAGGCAGUGGCUCAACCAUUGUAUGCAUUGGAAACUGGUAGACUUGAGUGCAGGAGAGGAGAGUGGAAUUCCAUGUGUAGCGGUGAAAUGCGUAGAUAUAUGGAGGAACACCGGUGGCGAAAGCGGCUCUCUGGACUGUAACUGACGCUGAUGCUCGAAAGCGUGGGGAGCAAACAGG